ensembl:lncRNA
AUCUCCUGCACCUAAGCUGCUUGCUAUGGAGGAGUGCUGCACAGUCACAGAGCCCCUUCAUUACUUGGUAUUUUUUUCUGCAAGUCAACCGUGUUACCUUACAUGCCAGCGCACUCUUGAUCAAAGAGCUACAUCCCACUCCUGCAGGAAGGCAGAUUUACUGGCUUGGUGGUUCCUUCACAUUUCUAGCUGCGGUAAUCCUCUUCACAGGACGCUCCAGUGCUUCUGUGCUGACAUCAUCUGUCAUGCUGUCCUGGGUGGGAGGUGUCGGCUCUGCUGGUGCCUUGAGGGCGUUCCAUAAAGAGCAAUGGAAGGAAAGCUGGAAAAAACCUCAGGAAACUUCCAACUGACAGACAAGAGGGCUGAUACGAUACGGGGCAUGCAGAUAACCUUAAAGAACAGCUUGAAGUAGUAAAGUGCUGCUUAAGGAUGCAGUUUGUGUCAACAAGUCACUGAUAAUGACUUCAGAAGAAUGAAUAGAUUUUAGCCCACAGCAGAGAGAACACACCAACGUUGUGAAGCACUACUGAGUGACACUGGAGUGUCUACGCAGACAUUCAGCAUCUGCAGAGAGCACAGUUUAGCCAGGCAAAGGCUGCUGCACCUAUUUGGAGUUACUGUGGGUUAGCUUACUCUGCAGCUGUAUUUGUUGUUCUGUGAUGCAGCUCAGUAUUAAUGGACAGAAGCUUCUUUCAGCAAAAUUCCCUUUUGGCUCAUUGGAAUUAACACGUGCACGCUGCCAGGAGCCCCUCGUCUGCAGCCUCCACGUUCAGCACUUGGGCUGAUGGUGCUGUCAUGCUUGGAUGGAAUGGCUGUGGCCUUGGUUUUAUUUUUCCUAAUUCAUCAUCAGCAUCAGACAACAUGUGGAGGUUCAGUAGGUAACACGGCUGUCCUCAACCAUUUUUCUGCUCUGGAACAAGAAAUCCUCCAAAUACAGCCAAAUCCAGCAGUCUGUCAGCGGAUUGAUCCAAGUUUGAUCACACCAUUAAGGAUAUCCUGUCAUUUACAAAAAAAAAAGGUUUGAGAUUGGUUUGUUUCCUGCAGCUGGAAACCUUCAUUUCAUUACGCAAAUUAUUUCUCUGAAAGCUGCUAAGAAGGAUUGAGGUCUAUAAUUAGAAUAAUACCCCACAGGAUUACAUUCACAAAUGUAAUUAUAUAAUCAUUUAGAACUAAAUUGUGCCAUGAAACUACAGGGUUUUUCAAAGUGGUACUGGCAUUUCUGAAGGGUUGUUUUUAAGAUUUGCUCUGCUAGUAAAGCAGUUUCCAUGGGUCAAUUAGAAAGACUUCCAGUUCAACUGAGAGCCCCAUCCUGCUGCUUCCCCCAUCGACAACUUGGCACUAAUCGACAUCAGGGUUUACGUUCAGAUAUCUGCUGCCAUUCAGAACAAGGCAGUGGCAGUGCCAUCGGGCACAGCUGCUUAACUCUCAGUAUUUUGGGUGUGAUGGCGUAAGCUGGAGCAUGUCUGUUGAGAAUCUGCAGAGGAAGACUGCUUUUCCAGACACCACUUUGGUACUUGGGUGUGCAUGGUGCAUUGCUCAGGAGGAGGCGGUGGGCUGUGGGUGUGUUGGAAUGGUUCGCUCUUCAGGAGCCCUGUGCCGCAGCUCUGUGGCAAGAGCUGCCUUUGUGCCAUGGUGCUUUUAGAGGCAUCAGUGAGACGGGGGAGAUUCCUGGCUGUCUGAUGCCCAACUGGCUGCCCUGUUUUUCCCAGGAAGCGUUGCAGUGGUAUCAUCACGUGGUGCGGUUGUGCUGUGACUGUGCUCCUGGCAGCGGUGCUCAGGACAGUGUACGGUGCUUUCACAAUGCUGUGCAUGCACCGAGCUCUCCUCUGUAAUAGAACCUGUGUGAAUGCACUGGUGCAGUUUCUUGAUUCAAAGCUUUCACACUCAGUUCACGGCAGUACACUUACGCCUGAAAUGAUGAAAGGUAUCAUGAAAUAGAGCCGCUUUAAUGGCUGCUUUUCUCCUUAAGUUUUGCAAAGUCCUUUUUAAUAUCUUUAUGCUGUUGACAUGGCAUUGCCACAUCCUUUUUUUUUUACAUCAGUUUCCUCACUUGGAGUGCCUUGCCUUUUGCACAGACAAAACAGUACCAGAAAAUUUGCUUAACGUAGAGUACUGUGCUGGGACUCCCAAAGUAAGAAGCAGCACCUCGCCCUGCUCUAUUAGGAAUUCAUCCCCUGCCCUUACAGGCUGCAAACCCCUGGUUGGCGAGGCAGUGGGCAAUAGGGUAAGCUAAUGAGGAACUGCAAUAUUUGCAACCUGGGAAAGGCAAAUAUUUCACCGAGUUCUCCAAUUAUCGCUGGUAGCCUCAUACGCUUCUAAUGAGCGCAAAGUAAUCAGCCUAUCUCUUCCCAUGUAUUAGCAAGAGUUGCUUAAAAUUCUCCAGGAUUCCUGCGGUGAACUGAGAUAUGCACCUAAAUGGAUAAAUGAAGAGGUUGCACGAUUGCUUCUUCAAGGACUUCCAGGGCUGCCACGCUGCUCCCAGCACUGGCUGUCUCUGCCUGUGGUGUGUUCUGUCAAUGUGUUUAUGGUAUGCAAACUGAAGGGAAAGUAAUUUUAGAAUUGCAAGGGUGCUUGAGCAGCAAUGUAACGUGGUUGCAGAGAGACUACGAAAUCAUUCUUCUCUAAGACAGCAUCUCCUAACAAGGGAUCCUCUGUGCUCGUUUGCAAGCUCACAUCUCAAGCAGUCCAACUGGGCAAGAAACAGGGUGGCAGAAAAUGCAAAGCUGCAAAGACCAGCGGUUGCUCUCUGGGCUUUUACCAUACAGUGUCCCACAUCAGGAAGAACAGGAAAACCUUGAGGAGUGGGGAGCUGACAUGAUGGCCAUCUGCAGUGGGACACAGAAUCCCGUCCUGUAGCCCUCCAUGUCAAGGGGUCAGCAGGAGGCAGGGCACAGUCUGGAGCUGCAGAAGUAGGAGGCGUGAGAGAAGAGCAUGAGAUGGCAGCAGGAGCUAAAGCUGUUCUGCUUUACUGUACUGCAGCACCCAGGGGACUAGAGCUGAAGAAUACAAAUAAAGAAACAUUUGUUUCUGU